UGCCUAUUGAAAUUGCGUGCGAAAGAAAAAUGGUAAUCAUCUUGAUGAUUUUGGCUUUUCUUCGUUUUCUUCCUCAAACUGUUGACUUGCUGUGACUGCGGAGCAACGCACAGUAAACUGGAAUAAACCGGAUUGAACUAUUCCAUCUCCAAGUGUGUUGAUAGAAAUAUAUCCAGCAACCUGUCAGAAGUGUUACCAGAACAACUACAACAUUGGACCACAUGCACUGGAACCUUCUUAUUUCAGGACUACCAGUGGGGAAGGGCUGUAUUUAAUUGUUGCUGUCAAUUAUCUUGGUACCAGUCAUGACAACAUUUACCUACCUGCAGCAGAGGCCCUGCCGACUUAAACAAUCAUAGCUGUGCUCGGGCAAGCAAGAAGGUCGACAAGAUGUAUUCUACCGACAGGCAAAUUGUUGGCAGAUCGUUCCCAGUCCACUGAUGAGCGGAUAAGAUGAUGAUUUAAUCCCAAUAACGGAAAGAAAACUGGUGUCUUUCCUAGAACAUGAACAUUUUGAUCUUCAAGAAACUGCCACUCAUGUUUACUAUAUUUGAUGGAAGGAUCAGUGUUGUGAUAUGACUGUCUGAUAACAUAUUCAGUUGAUGUGACAUUUUCAAUAAUUUGACAUUCUAGGUUGAUUUGAUAUUCUCAAGUGGACAUGACAUUCUAUGUCGAUGUGAUAUUCUCAAGUGGACAUGACAUUCUAUGUCGAUGUGAUAUUCUCAAGUUGACGUGACAUUCUAUGUCGAUGUGAUAUUCUCAAGUUGACGUGACAUUCUAUGUCGAUGUGAUAUUCUCAAGUUGACGUGACAUUCUAUGUCGAUGUGAUAUUCUCAAGUUGACAUGACAUUCUAUGUCGAUGUGAUAUUCUCAAGUUGACAUGACAUUCUAGGUUGAUGUUAUAUCUGAAGUUAAUGUGAAAUGCUUAGUUUGAUUUGUAAAUAUACUUCCAAUGCUUUUGGACAUUCUUAUGGUGUAACAUUCAUGGAACUAAUAGGUGUAUGUGGCACUGUGACCAAUACCUUUCUUUAUGAUUUAGACCUUCAAAUACUACUGCCAUAACAUAUAGUGGAACAUAUAUCAAAAUUUAAAUAUGAGUGCAACAAGGGUUCAAAUAGGAUUUUUUUAAAUUUUCAGAGAGGGUUUUCUGUUUGUGUUUUUAAGGCAAAUUAUGAUAAACAAACAAAUUAAACAGUGAUGUAUUGUUAUACUUUUAUAUCUUUUGAUUUAUAUUGUACUAUUUCUAAAAGUAUUAAAUAAACUAUAUGAUUUAAGAACAAGUGUAUAAUUGCAAUAUACUUUGUUUAUCUCUAAUUUAAACUGGUUACAACUUAUAAACCAAUAUUGCAUAUCCUUCUAGACUUCUAUACUUUUCAAUUUCCAUUAAUAUUAACAAACUUACCGGUAUGAACUUUCAAGAACAGUCAAAAAAAAAAGUUUAUUCGUUUGUAAAAUUAUUUGUUACCUUUUUUCAUACAAAACAAUAACUGAAUCUGCUAUCAAUAAAGAAACCAGGCGCUGGUCUCUUUAUGAAACUUCAGUUUAACUCAGUUAUUGAAUUGCUGCAACUUGUUCACUAGUUAUCGCUCACUGACACUUAUUAAACUCUGACAGCUGCAUGACUUUAGUGAUUCACUGACUGAAAUUAUCAUGUUUUAUGUUUGUUUUUACAAACUAUUCCUAUUAUAAGACUAACAUUUAAAUAUCAUAAUAGAUCUAGCAUUUGAAAUAUCUCAAUUAUUACUUUGGUGUGCAUUAAACAGUGAUUGCCUUAUAAAGUUUGUUUGUAUCAUUUGAAUGUUUGUUGCUUAUAGAAGUUUAAUUGUUUUUGAUUAAAAUGUU